rnacentral:lncRNA from 1 species
GUCAGGUCAGAGCUAGGAAUAACAUCAUAUCCCACAUUCCUGCUUCUAAUGACUGAUCAUUACUUUAAAAUACCCAGGGAUUUGGUUCUUACGCUAAAAUCAUCUUCUCUACAAAUGGUUUCCUAACAAGAGCCACCAAACAGAUGUUGGGUUCUGCUGAACCAGAUCAUAUUCCUAGUGAUCAGUCAGGGCAGGCUCACAACACAGGACCAGCCUCUCAUAACCCAGAGAACAUCCAGAAAAUUCCCAGGUGGUGGAUGGGAAGAGCUGAUUAA